CCUACGGGUGACAGCAGUGAGGAAUAUUGGUCAAUGGGAGAGAUCCUGAACCAGCCAAGCCGCGUGAGGGAAGACGGCCCUAUGGGUUGUAAACCUCUUUUGUCGGAGAACAAAACCCGGGACGUGUCCCGGACUGCGUGUAUCCGAAGAAAACGCAUCGGCUAACUCCGUGCCAGCAGCCGCGGUAAUACGGGGGAUGAGAGCGUUAUCCGGAUUUAUUGGGUUUAUAGGGUGCGUAGGCGGUCCGUUAAGUCAGCGGGAAAAUUGCGGGGCUCAACCCCGUCGAGCCGUUGAAACUGGCAGACUUGAGUUGGCGAGAAGUACGCGGAAUGCGCGGUGUAGCGGUGAAAUGCAUAGAUAUCGCGCAGAACUCCGAUUGCGAAGGCAGCGUACCGGCGCCAGACUGACGCUGAGGCACGAAAGCGUGGGGAUCGAACAGGAUUAGAUACCCCAGUAGUC
rnacentral:rRNA from 1 species